ACGAACGCUGGCGGCGUGCCUAAUACAUGCAAGUAGAACGCUGAAGGAGGAGCUUGCUUCUCUGGAUGAGUUGCGAACGGGUGAGUAACGCGUAGGUAACCUGCCUGGUAGCGGGGGAUAACUAUUGGAAACGAUAGCUAAUACCGCAUAAUAGUAGAUGUUGCAUGACAUUUGCUUAAAAGGUGCAAUUGCAUCACUACCAGAUGGACCUGCGUUGUAUUAGCUAGUUGGUGGGGUAACGGCUCACCAAGGCGACGAUACAUAGCCGACCUGAGAGGGUGAUCGGCCACACUGGGACUGAGACACGGCCCAGACUCCUACGGGAGGCAGCAGUAGGGAAUCUUCGGCAAUGGACGGAAGUCUGACCGAGCAACGCCGCGUGAGUGAAGAAGGUUUUCGGAUCGUAAGGCUCUGUUGUAAGAGAAGAACGAGUGUGAGAGUGGAAAGUUCACACUGUGACGGUAUCUUACCAGAAAGGGACGGCUAACUACGUG
rnacentral:rRNA from 1 species